rnacentral:rRNA from 1 species
GGCUGUUCUCAGCUCGUGUUGUGAAAUGUUGGGUUAAGUCCCGCAACGAGCGCAACCCUUAUCCUUUGUUGCCAGCGGUUAGGCCGGGAACUCAAAGGAGACUGCCAGUGAUAAACUGGAGGAAGGUGGGGAUGACGUCAAGUCAUCAUGGCCCUUACGAGUAGGGCUACACACGUGCUACAAUGGCGCAUACAAAGAGAAGCGACCUCGCGAGAGCAAGCGGACCUCAUAAAGUGCGUCGUAGUCCGGAUUGGAGUCUGCAACUCGACUCCAUGAAGUCGGAAUCGCUAGUAAUCGUG